rnacentral:rRNA from 1 species
GACAGAGGGUGCAAACGUUGUUCGGAAUUACUGGGCGUAAAGCGCGUGUAGGCGGCCAUCUAAGUCGGGCGUUAAAUCCAACGGCUCAACCGUGGAAGUGCACUCGAAACUGGAUGGCUAGAGUCCUGGAGAGGAAGGUGGAAUGCUUGGUGUAGAGGUGAAAUUCGUAGAUAUCAAGCGGAACACCGGUGGCGAAGGCGGCCUUCUGGACAGUGACUGACGCUGAGACGCGAAAGCGUGGGGAGCGAACAGG